rnacentral:misc_RNA from 1 species
GAAGUGCGAUAAGUGUCAUGACUUGCAGAUCCCCGAGAGCUGACAAAUUUCUGAAUGCAAAUGGCGGCCAACUUACCGUUGGUCAUGUAUUGCAGAGUGUAGUUGUUCAUACUCAUCAUCCUCCCUUCCAAGGGAGGGAUCUGCGCUUGUUCCCCAGCGAGCGUGAAACGUCAGAGUGGAUGCUUUCCUCUCCUCAACAGGGAGGAGGCUCCAACUUCGGAGUUUAACUACGUAGAAGUUCCCAUACUCUGUCUCUUUCUCCUUAUUCACCUCUGCAAUGCAGGAAAACCCGCUGAACUUAA